AUCAUCUUUCUCCUGACCAAACAGAAAAACCACAAACUCCUUUUUUUUCCCACCAUCUUUAUCUUUGUAAACCAACUGCAAAACUAAAAGCUCCUUGGUCGACACCUUCCGUUUCUUCACUAUCUAAUUAUCUCUCUCCACCCUUGACACCAUUCACAUCAAGAUUUCAGUUAAAGCACCACCACCACAAACAACAACACCAACAUAUUUCAAUCUGAUUUCACCACUAUCAAAUAUUGCAAUGACAUAAUUUCAUUAAAACAUCUUGAUUUCAUCUGAAUUAGGUUUUGAAUCAUCAACUUGACCCUUCAUAACCACAAAACAUAGUUUUAUUAGAUGCUGAUUCAAAUGGGGAUGGGAAAGUUGAUCCAAAUGAAUGAAUAUACUUUGUGAAUUGAAUUUUUCAUACAUUAAGACAUAACGUUGGCAUUUCCCAGCUUCAUGCUGAACUCUGAAAUUGAAGAUUAGACGUGGGGCGUAGCCUAGGCACAUAAAGUCGUGGUAUUAAAUUGUUAUCCUCAAUUGAAACGGCGAAUGUACUAAAAGUCAAGUGAAGAAAUACUACAACUAUGCGUAGGUAAUCAGGGUGAUUUCAAUCGACGAUUUUCAUUAUAUCUAAGGUGUUUAACCCUUAUAAAAGAAAAAUAUCAAAAUCAAAUUGUACAUAAGACAUGAAGAGGCCUAUAUAUGAUUUCAUUAUGUUA